rnacentral:rRNA from 3 species
GGGUUGUGAGGUUAAGCGACUAAGCGUACACGGUGGAUGCCCUGGCAGUCAGAGGCGAUGAAGGGCGUGCUAAUCUGCGAUAAGCGCCGGUAAGGUGAUAUGAACCGUUAUAACCGGCGAUACCCGAAUGGGGAAACCCAGUGUGACUCGUCACACUAUCAUUAACUGAAUCCAUAGGUUAAUGAGGCGAACCGGGGGAACUGAAACAUCUAAGUACCCCGAGGAAAAGAAAUCAACCGAGAUUCCCCCAGUAGCGGCGAGCGAACGGGGAGGAGCCCAGAGCCUGAAUCAGCAUGUGUGUUAGUGGAAGCGUCUGGAAAGGCGCGCGAUACAGGGUGACAGCCCCGUACACAAAAGCGCAUAUGCUGUGAGCUCGAUGAGUAGGGCGGGACACGUGGUAUCCUGUCUGAAUAUGGGGGGACCAUCCUCCAAGGCUAAAUACUCCUGACUGACCGAUAGUGAACCAGUACCGUGAGGGAAAGGCGAAAAGAACCCCGGCGAGGGGAGUGAAAAAGAACCUGAAACCGUGUACGUACAAGCAGUGGGAGCACCCUUUUGGGUGUGACUGCGUACCUUUUGUAUAAUGGGUCAGCGACUUAUAUUCUGUAGCAAGGUUAACCG